UCGUAGUCCACAAACGCGAGGCACAGAU
rnacentral:sRNA from 1 species